UACGAAGGGGGCUAGCGUUGUUCGGAAUCACUGGGCGUAAAGGGCGCGUAGGCGGCUUUAUAAGUCGGUGGUGAAAGCCUGUGGCUCAACCACAGAAUUGCCUUCGAUACUGUAGAGCUUGAGACCGGAAGAGGUAAGUGGAACUGCGAGUGUAGAGGUGAAAUUCGUAGAUAUUCGCAAGAACACCAGUGGCGAAGGCGGCUCACUGGCCCGUUACUGACGCUGAGGUGCGAAAGCGUGGGGAGCAAACAGG
rnacentral:rRNA from 1 species